UAUUGUGUGCAGCAGCAUUGUCGAUCAUUGGUAUAAAGGAAGUACACUGCGGCUGUGUAAAUGAUAAAUUUGGAGGCUGUGGCUCAAUACUGUUGUUGCAUCAAGUUAGCUCCGAGGAAUGCAUUUGUAUUAGUUUUGAAAGAAACAGCUCAAGUCCAGGGGGAAGAAGCAAAGAGAGAUGUAUGAAGGAUGCAUCUAAACAAAAA